rnacentral:ncRNA from 12 species
GGGUGUCCACCGCAUCGUGCGGCGGGCAGGUUCAUGCGUCGGUCGGGCCGCCACG